CCAACGGGCACGGCAGCUCGGGGGCACUUAGUGGGGCGCCCCAAACCUCUGCCACCCCCAAUUUCCUAGCGUGCCCCGCCUCUCUCCGUCCUCGCCUCCGGCCCGCCCCUUCCUCCCGGGCUAGCCCCCCGCAGUGCCCGCCCAACUCCAGGACUACGCGGAGAGACAGAAACCAAAACCCGGCACCCACGGAAAGCCUGGGCCUCCUUAAAGCCCCAACUCUGAGCGCUUUCUGGGCAGCUCUUGACUCGAACUCCACUGCGGCCCCUCACUGAUGGCAGCCAUGUUAGUUGCAUCCGGGUAUGUCGAGGAGCCCCGACCAAAGUCUCCCGGAAGUGACGCGAGCGCGGAGGGAUUCGCGUUCGGCUGAGGUGAAGGGGCUCCGGAAGCGGUUGCGGUAGAGACGGUGACAGGAAAGGAAAGUGCUCUACAGAUGGUUCUAAGAAGUCUUCGAUGAAGCUAAAGAGAGCAGAUUUCUCUAGUGUGUUGCCACCAUCCCCCUCUGGAGACUUGGGAAGCAGAAGGAUAGCAGUGAGACAGAGUGAAGCUGACAUGCAUAGAGAAGCUGGGAUCGUUUUCUCGGGGAAACUACCAUGUCUUGAAGACACUCAAGCAGCCCUAUGGAGAGACCCAUGUGGCAAGGAACUGAGGUCCACAGCCAGCAACCAGUGUAUGCACUUGGCAGACACGAGUAAGCUACCUUGGAAGCAGGUCUUUUAAGCCUCAUUAAACUUUCAGGUAACAACAUUCCUGGCUGACAUCUUAUAUAUAACCUCAGGAAAGACCCCCAAGUCAAACCCAGCAAGGAGAAAAUUUCACUGUCUUGAAGUGAUCUGCUUCCUGACACAAUCACCAUUAUUUAUAUAUUUAAAAGGAGAAAGAGGCAUAUGAGUACAAGAUAUAUAAGUACAUCUAAGGUGGAUUACUGCUCAUUUGCGUUUUCCAGGAGGCAUCUUGCAGACCAAUAGACCCAGUGAUAAAAAAUUUCCUUAAGGACAAGGAGUAUUCCUCAGUGUGCUUUUUAUUAAAGGAUGCAGAAAAUCUUG